GCUGUAUAAAUAACAGUUUUCAUUAAUAGCAUUAAGAAAUUCCACCAUAUGAUCUAACAUAAAUACGCAGAAGGAAGUUUUUUUCUUCUGCAAAACAUUGAGACGAAAAGCACACCGAAAGCUCGAACACCUGUAAAAUAGAACUGAACAAAAGUUGAUAGGGGCUAGAAGAAAUUAUAAUGUACAUGCUGCUUGCAAAGAUCAACGUGCAGAAGGUGCGUUUAACAACGAAGUGAAAGAACAUUUAUCGAUUUUACAAAGUAGUCUUGAUACCUGGAGGAGGAUAUGUCCAAUCCUCGCUCCAAACUCGGUGCCAAAAUUCGAAUAUGAGGGACCAUCAACGAGCUGCUU